rnacentral:rRNA from 1 species
UGGGGAAUCUUCCGCAAUGGACGAAAGUCUGACGGAGCAACGCCGCGUGUAUGAUGAAGGUCUUCGGAUUGUAAAGUACUGUCAUUGGGGAAGAACGGUUUUCUUGAAAAGAUUGAGAAGACAUGACGGUACCCAAGGAGGAAGCCCCAGCUAACUACGUGCCAGCAGCCGCGGUAAUACGUAGGGGGCAAGCGUUGUCCGGAAUUAUUGGGCGUAAAGGGCGCGUAGGCGGGCCUUUAAGUCCGGUGUGAAAGAUCAGGGCUCAACCCUGAGAGUGCAUCGGAAACUGGAGGCCUUGAGGACAGGAGAGGAAAGUGGAAUUCCACGUGUAGCGGUGAAAUGCGUAGAUAUGUGGAGGAACACCAGUGGCGAAGGCGACUUUCUGGACUGUAACUGACGCUGAGGCGCGAAAGCGUGGGGAGCAAACAGGAUUAGAUACCCUGGUAGUCCACGCCGUAAACGAUGAGUGCUAGGUGUAGA